CUCUCCAGAAGCUCGUCGAGUGGAUCACCUACUUUCUCCAUCGAUUCAGUUUGGAGUAGAACAGAUGAGAUUGGACUGAGCACACCUGCAAUCAGUCUUCCAGCUCAGGUGACAAGUGACUCUGAGCCCAGUGGGAAACGGGAUUCUCCCGUAGUUGAUAUUGAGGCUGACCGCUUGCAGUCGCUGACAAUCCAGAAUCUGGCUGUGGAGGGGGACAC